rnacentral:rRNA from 1 species
AUUGAACGCUGGCGGCAUGCCUUACACAUGCAAGUCGAACGGCAGCACGGGUGCUUGCACCUGGUGGCGAGUGGCGAACGGGUGAGUAAUACAUCGGAACAUGUCCUGUAGUGGGGGAUAGCCCGGCGAAAGCCGGAUUAAUACCGCAUACGAUCCACGGAUGAAAGCGGGGGACCUUCGGGCCUCGCGCUAUAGGGUUGGCCGAUGGCUGAUUAGCUAGUUGGUGGGGUAAAGGCCUACCAAGGCGACGAUCAGUAGCUGGUCUGAGAGGACGACCAGCCACACUGGGACUGAGACACGGCCCAGACUCCUACGGGAGGCAGCAGUGGGGAAUUUUGGACAAUGGGCGAAAGCCUGAUCCAGCAAUGCCGCGUGUGUGAAGAAGGCCUACGGGUUGUAAAGCACUUUUGUCCGGAAAGAAAUCCUUGACUCUAAUACAGUCGGGGGAUGACGGUACCGGAAGAAUAAGCACCGGCUAACUACGUG